ensembl:lncRNA
AUGGCCGCCACUCCAGAGUCUCGUCACAACAUGGCUGCCAGUCAGGAGCCUCUCUGCAAGAUGGCCAACACAUCAGAAUCUCCAGCCAUCAUGACCGACACAACAGAGCCUCCAGCCGUCAUGGGUGUCACACCACAGUCUUUGGGUGUGUCACCACAGUCUUCAGCCGUCAUGGAUGCCACUCCAGUGUGCCCGGUCAUCAUGAAUGUUGCAUCUGAAGACACCCAGGUGGUCCAAAGGCAUUUGAGGCUGGCUUCCAGUUUGGUGGACCCACUUCUGAUGUCAGUACAGGCUGCCAGCAUCCCCAGGUCUGUGGCCUCAGCACUCUCAAGCCUGGCCAUCUCAGUUCUCCCACCUUCCGCUGCAUUUCCAGUAAUAGUGGUUGCUAUUUUGUGAUCUGGCCAUACACACUACUUAGACGGCAGAAUCCACUACAGAACCUGCUCCAGUCCAUAAAUCUGCUCCAGUGUAUGUGUGUGUGUAUGUGUGUGUAUAUAUAUAUAUAAAUAUAUAUAUAUAUAUAUAUAUAUAUAUAUAUAUAUAUAUAUAUAUAUAUAAUAUACACACACCUGUGUUCGGUGCUUGUUUUUCAGUUGUUGUGUUCCCUGUAGAUGCUUGUGUUCCUUGUGCCCAGCUCUUGGUUCCCUGUUCUCUUGUGUUUCUGUGUUAGUCUUUUUUUUAUUUGUUAUUAAACUUCCACGUGGCUCUGCCUCAUCUCGCCUUUGCUCAGCUUCCAACAUUACACACAGAGACAGUCAGCCAUAUGCCAAAAAAAGCAUGACAAAGGCCAGAGAAAACAACAUUAAAGAGCUAUAGUUUUAAAUACAGAGGGAGGCUGGACUGAUUAUUUACUUUAAAGAUAGGACUAACUUAAAAAAAAAAUCAAAAAAAAUGUAAACAAAUUAUUUUAUUGAUUUUUUUUAGUGUUAAAGUUGCAUAAAGUCUUUUGUGUAUAAGAAUUCAGUAAAAUGUUUACAAAUCGAGGGUUGCAGAGAUACCAUUGUAAAAAAGAAAUGUAUGUAGUGUACUUCAAA